CAAUGACAAGUCGGCAUCAGCCAAUCGUAGCCACAACCCGCCUUUGUCCAUCCCAAGCCUCGAGGAAUGAGGAGGGAUGAUUUUAUGAUUGACAAGCAUCCUGACCAAUAAGCGUGGCCGGGCCUAGAGGCGCGGCCGCCCCCGAGGCCGGCUGAGGUGAGGCGCUGCCCGCGGGGAGGGGCCGCGCCGCCGCCCUUAUCCGCCCGCGCAGCGCCGCCUGGGGCCCGCGAUAGGCCCGGCCGCCCCCGGCUCCCCGCCCUGCCCCGGCGGCUGGGCCUCGGUCUGAAUGUGAAAAUGCCUCCCUGAGCUCAGCGAUAAAGAGGCAGAAAGAAUUCGUCUCUUAAACCAGCUCCCGUUUAUGAAGAUCAAACGUGAUGUCCUUCCUGAGUGCACAAAUGAAGCCUCGUUAUAACCCUGACAUCUCACAGCUUCCAGCAGUCCCUGCAAGUUCCUGGCCACAUCAGCCUUCCCUGGUCCUGCAGCAGCGUGCAGAGGCGAGUGCUUCAGCUGAGAACCCCAGUGUGCUGAUAUCAGAUCCGAGCAGGUGGACGCUCCAUCCGGGCCUCCAUUCCCUCCUGCGAACACCAGCAGGGAUCUGAGCCGUGAGCAGUUUGGUUCGUGUGAUGAGGAGCCAGAAAUUGCUGCUGCAAAAUGCUCUCCCACAACGCAGUCCUCAGCGCCGCAGCUCCUCGAGGAGGGUGAGGGCAGGAGAUGCAGCUCCUGUGUUGCACCAAAGGACUUUUCCUGCUGUAAAAUCUUCUCCUGACUUCAGCCUAAACCACAGCUCUCUACAGUCGGGGUUAUUUCUUUUUCAGUAUUGCCUUAGAGAAGCAGCACUUUCCUGGCUGACUUUUAAAGCCACUUAUUGCAGUUGCCACGGGCGUGUAUCGGGUAAGCAACAGCCUCAGAUUGGGUGGCAGAGUGAAAACAAAAGAGUCUGUAUCAUCUCAUUGAGACUGUGGGAAACGUGAAAGCACGUAAGUGCUGACUUGCACAGCUACAGCCAUUCCUCACACCUCACAGGAGCUGAGCUUCAGGUGGAUGGCGGGCAGGGGAUGCUCCAUCCCAACCACCAGCAUAGUGAGCAGCAGCAGCUUCCAUCCGCACAGACCCUCCCUGUGUCUGGUAUAUCCCUGAAGCUCUCAGACCUCACAGUUUUCUUGCAAGCCCAAUAAUACACUCCUUACAGCAAUACUGAGGGCACGUUUUCCCUACUGGAGAUAUAAAAAGGCCUAAAGAACAUGCAGCUUCUGCAGAAAUAACUGCCUGAAAACAGGAUCUGAAUUGCUCCUGCACGUCCAGUAGGAUGAGCAUAAAACCCAAUUGAGGGGGAUGGGAAUGUGCCCCUUUUAUGUCAUUCAGUGGUUAAAACCAAAGGGUUUGAAUUGCAAAACGUGUCUGUGUUUGCUGUUGCUGGGCAGAGGGAAGGGUUUUCUAAAGGAGGACCAUUAAAGGGUUCAGUCUUCCUCAAGGGGUCCAACACUCUCUCCACAUAGACCUACCAAAGGAACUCAGCUAACAGCUUCCUUUCCCCUUUUUCAACUGGAAGAUAAAUAGAGCUAUCAGGAGAGGAGGAAAAAAAAACCAACCUACCUUUAUUUGACCCUUGGAACCCUGCAGCAGCCUGGAAUUGCUUCAUGGCAUUGACAACUUCUGCACUGUUUCCUAUAGAAGGAAUUUGGGCCGUGCUUAUCCUGCUUAGGAUGGCUGCAGAGGCACGGGGAGACCAAAGAGCUCAAAAAAGGGAGAUAAAACAGGGAGGCUAACACAGAAAUACUUUUUGGCUAAGCGCAACCCUCUUGCUUCUGUGGGGAAUUGGCUUUAACCACCGAGCUGAGCUGAAUCCUCACUGCAAUCGUUGGUAGAAAUGGUUAAGGCACAAACACUGCCUUGCCUUGGUGAGGCUGCAGGAUGCUAAAUGCUGGGCCAAAAUGAGAAGGGAUUUCCUCCUCGGGUACAAAUCACUACAAAACAGCAGAGAUGGACAGAGCUGCAGUUGUGCUUCUGCAUCACCAGCAGUGCAGGGACACAGAAGGGAGACCCUUCAUGGGGACAGAGCGGUGCCACUGACUGUCAACAGCCCCAGACUGUGGGAUCUGCAACUCUGCUCACCCCAAAGGAUCUGACGACCCACAUCCCACCGCCCUCAGCACUGCAAGGUGACUCACACACACAAGGAGAACAUCACCUCAGAAGCUAAAUGUUGAACUUUAGGGCACCCUACAACCAGUCAGGAUUGAAUCCCGUUGUUCCCAAGAGUGGAAGGGCACAGAAGACGUUCAAACUGGCAUGCAUUGUAACUCAGGGAAUACAACUGGUAUGUAUUCCAAACUGUGCAAGUCCUCUCAACUCUGUGACACAUUUAAAGACAAGUCUAUCAAGCUUAAGGAACAACGAGCGUCCUUUGGACUAAACCUUACUUCUCAGUAAGAGGAAAACAGAUUAAAACCAGAGACUGGCCAGGCUGGUGGUGGGUCCGUUCUGUGCCUGGAACUGUACGGGAGGUGGUCCAUCUGUCCACUGCAAGAUAACAAACAGCAUGAAAAUCCUCCAGCCAUGACCUGGGAAGGGGAGGAAGAGCAGCAAGGCCAGAGGAAGGAGCUGCCCACACACACACACAGAUGAUGAGUGAUUUCAUGACAAGCUGAGCAUCAGGUUUGACUCUGCAUCACACACAUGGAACAGGGGAAGCUGUGAGUUGCAUUAACGACAGGCCUCCAUUUAGAUGCUGCUGUUUGAGCCCAUUCUACACUGCAGCUGUAGUGUUUGCAGAGCGAAUAAAGCCUCUGCUUCUCACCCAU